rnacentral:rRNA from 1 species
GACGAACGCUGGCGGCGUGCCUAAUACAUGCAAGUAGAACGCACAGUUUAUACCUUAUCUUGCUACACCAUAGACUGUGAGUUGCGAACGGGUGAGUAACGCGUAGGUAACCUGCCUGGUAGCGGGGGAUAACUAUUGGAAACGAUAGCUAAUACCUCAUAAUAUUAAUUAUUGCAUGAUAAUUAAUUGAAAUUUGCAAUUGCACCACUACCAGAUGGACCUGAGUUGUAUUAGCUAGUAGGUGAGGUAACGGCUCACCUAGGAGAAGAUACAUAGCCGACCUGAGAGGGCGACCGGCCACACUGGGACUGAGACAAGGCCCAGACACCUACGGGAGGAAGCAGUAGGGAAUCUUCGGCAAUGGACGAAAGUCUGAACGAGCAAAGCCGCGUGAGUGAAGAAGGUUUUCGGAUCGUAAAGAUCGGUUGUAAGAGAAGAACGGGAGUGAGAGUGGAAAGUUCACACUGUGACGGUAUCUUAGCAGAAAGGGACGGCUAACUACGUG